GAGUACAACCUUGCCAAGGUUGGGGUCGCGGGUUCGAAUCCCGUCUCGCGCU
rnacentral:tRNA from 1 species